rnacentral:rRNA from 1 species
GACGAACGCUGGCGGCGUGCUUAACACAUGCAAGUCGAACGGAAAGGCUCCAGCUUGCUGGAGUACUCGAGUGGCGAACGGGUGAGUAACACGUGGGUAAUCUGCCCUGCACUCUGGGAUAAGCCUGGGAAACUGGGUCUAAUACUGGAUAUGACCUUUCUCCUUAUGGGGUUUGGUGGAAAGUUUUUCGGUGUAGGAUGAGCCCGCGGCCUAUCAGCUUGUUGGUGGGGUGAUGGCCUACCAAGGCGACGACGGGUAGCCGGCCUGAGAGGGUGAUCGGCCACAUUGGGACUGAGAUACGGCCCAGACUCCUACGGGGGGCAGCAGUGGGGAAUAUUGCACAAUGGGCGGAAGCCUGAUGCAGCGACGCCGCGUGAGGGAUGACGGCCUUCGGGUUGUAAACCUCUUUCAGCAGGGACGAAGCGUAAGUGACGGUACCUGCAGAAGAAGCACCGGCUAACUAGGCG